AGUGAACGCUGGCGGUAGGCCUAACACAUGCAAGUCGAACGGCAGCACAGUAAGAGCUUGCUCUUACGGGUGGCGAGUGGCGGACGAGUGAGGAAUACAUCGGAAUCUACUUUUUCGUGGGGGAUAACGUAGGGAAACUUACGCUAAUACCGCAUACGACCUACGGGUGAAAGCAGGGGAUCUUCGGACCUUGCGCGAUUGAAUGAGCCGAUGUCGGAUUAGCUAGUUGGCGGGGUAAAGGCCCACCAAGGCGACGAUCCGUAGCCGGUCUGAGAGGAUGAUCAGCCACACUGGAACUGAGACACGGUCCAGACUCCUACGGGAGGCAGCAGUGGGGAAUAUUGGACAAUGGGCGCAAGCCUGAUCCAGCCAUACCGCGUGGGUGAAGAAGGCCUUCGGGUUGUAAAGCCCUUUUGUUGGGAAAGAAAAGCAGCAGGCUAAUACCCCGCUGUUCUGACGGUACCCAAAGAAUAAGCACCGGCUAACUUCGUG
rnacentral:rRNA from 1 species